rnacentral:rRNA from 1 species
AUACGGAGGAUGCAAGCGUUAUCCGGAAUUAUUGGGUUUAAAGGGUGCGUAGGCUGUUUUGCAAGUCAGGGGUGAAAGCCCGGAGCUCAACUCCGGAACUGCCUUUGAUACUGCGAGGCUGGAAUACGGAUGCCGUGGGAGGAAUGAGUAGUGUAGCGGUGAAAUGCAUAGAUAUUACUCAGAACACCGAUUGCGAAGGCAUCUCACGAAUCCGUCAUUGACGCUGAGGCACG